GUUUAGCAGCUGCUCGCGUGAGGGGUUGCAGUGGAGCUCUUUUUUAUACCGUUUUUUUACGGUAUAAAAAAAGCGGGAACGUAAAACCCGACCCGAA
rnacentral:sRNA from 1 species